rnacentral:rRNA from 1 species
AGUCACUGACAUUAGAUACCCGUGUAGUCCAGGGUGUAAACGCUGCAGACUUGGUGUUGGAAGCCCUUUGGGGGCAUUCAGUGCCGGAGAGAAGUUGUUAAGUCUGCUACUUGGGAGUACGUCCGCAAGGAUGAAACUUAAAGGAAUUGGCGGGGAGCACCGCAACGGGAGGAGCGUGCGGUUUAAUUGGAUUCAACACCGUAAACUCACCAGGGAAGACUGUUACAUGAAGGCCGAGAUGGAGACUCUGCUAGAUUUUCAG